GCCGGGUUAGCUCAGUUGGUUAGAGCAUGGUGCUAAUAACGCCAAGGUCACAGGUUCAAUCCCUGCUCACUGCA
rnacentral:tRNA from 1 species